rnacentral:rRNA from 1 species
CUACGGGAUGCUCCAGUGGGGAAUAUUGGACAAUGGGGGCAACCCUGAUCCGGCAAUGCCGCGUGUGUGAAGAAGGCCUGAGGGUUGUAAAGCACUUUUGUAGAGGAGGAUGGUGAGCAAGGUUAAGAGCUAUGUUCAUUGACGUUACUCUAAGAAUAAGCACCGGCUAACUCCGUGCCAGCAGCCGCGGUAAUACGGAGGGUGCAAGCGUUAAUCGGAAUUACUGGGCGUAAAGGGUGCGUAGGCGGUUGAGUAAGUUAUCUGUGAAAUCCCUGGGCUUAACCUAGGUGGGAAAGAUAAGACUGCUCGACUGGAGUGUGGUAGAGGAUAGUGGAAUUUCCGGCGUAGCGGUGAAAUGCGUAGAGAUCGGAAGGAACACCAGUGGCGAAGGCGGCUAUCUGGACCAACACUGACGCUGAGGCACGAAAGCGUGGGGAGCAAACAGGAUUAGAUACCCGGGUAGUC